AGAGUUUGAUCMUGGCUCAGGAUGAACGCUGGCGGCGUGCCUAAUACAUGCAAGUCGAACGAGGUGCUUUUGUAGCAAUACGGAAGUAUCCUAGUGGCGAACGGGUGAGUAACGCGUUGGUGACCUACCCCAAAGUGUGGGAUAACAGUUCGAAAGAACUGCUAAUACCGCAUGUGGUUAUUGGAUUUAGAAACCAAUAACUAAAGGAGCAAUUCGCUUUGGGAGGGACCUGCGUCCCAUCAGCUAGUUGGUGAGGUAAUGGCUCACCAAGGCUACGACGGGUAGGGGACCUGAGAGGGUGACCCCCCACAAUGGAACUGAAACACGGUCCAUACACCUACGGGUGGCAGCAGUAGGGAAUAUUGCACAAUGGGCGAAAGCCUGAUGCAGCAACGCCGCGUGUGCGAUGAAAGGCCUUCGGGUCGUAAAGCACUUUUCUGGGAGAUGAGAAAGGACAGUAUCCCAGGAAUAAGUCUCGGCUAACUACGUGCCAGCAGCCGCGGUAAUA
rnacentral:rRNA from 1 species